rnacentral:rRNA from 1 species
ACGCUCGACACCUACGGAGGCAGCAGUGGGGAAUAUUGCACAAUGGGGGAAACCCUGAUGCAGCGACGCCGCGUGGAGGAAGAAGGUCUUCGGAUUGUAAACUCCUGUUGUUGGGGAAAAAGNGGAUGGUACCCAACAAGGAAGUGACGGCUAACUACGUGCCAGCAGCCGCGGUAAUCUGAGCGGGCUGGCAAGGC